GACGGGCCCCGCACAAGCAGCGGAGCGUGUGGUUUAAUUCGAUGCUACACGAAGAACCUUACCAGGGUUUGACAUACAAGUAGUAGGGAAAGGAAACUGGACCGACCCUUCGGGGAGCUUGAACAGGUGCUGCAUGGCUGUCGUCAGCUCGUGUCGUGAGAUGUUCGGUUAAGUCCGCUAACGAGCGCAACCCUCGCUGUGUGUUACAAGUGUCACACGGAACUGCCGGUCAUAAACCGGAGGAAGGUGGGGAUGACGUCAAGUCAGCAUGGCCUUUAUAUCCUGGGCUACACACACGCUACAAUGGGAAGGGACAAUAGGUUGCGAAACCGCGAGGUGGAGCCAAUCCAGCAAAACUUCCCUCAGUUCAGAUUGCAGGCCGCAACUCGCCUGCAUGAAGUUGGAGUUGCUAGUAAACGCAGGUCAGCCAUACUGCGUUGAAUACGUUCCCGGGGCUU
rnacentral:rRNA from 1 species